CUACGGGGCGCUGCAGUGAGGAAUAUUGCGCAAUGGGGGAAACCCUGACGCAGCGACGCCGCGUGGAUGAUGAAGGCCUUAGGGUCGUAAAAUCCUGUCAGGUGGGAAGAAGUGGAUAUAGAUUAAUACUCUAUUUCUUUGACGGUACCACCAAAGGAAGCACCGGCUAACUCCUUGCCAGCAGCCGCGGUAAUACGGAGGGUGCAAACGUUGUUCGGAAUUACUGGGCGUAAAGCGCGCGUAGGCGGUUUGUUAAGUCAGAUGUGAAAGUCCAUGGCUCAACUAGGGAAGUGCAUUUGAAACUGGCAGACUUGAGUACUGGAGGGGGUGAUGGAAUUCCCGGUGUAGAGGUGAAAUUCGUAGAUAUCGGGAGGAAUACCGGUGGCGAAGGCGAUCACCUGGCCAGAUACUGACGCUGAGGUGCGAAAGCGUGGGGAGCAAACAGGAUUAGAUACCCGCGUAGUC
rnacentral:rRNA from 1 species